rnacentral:lncRNA from 1 species
AAAAAAAAAAAAAAAAUUAGCCAGGCGUGGUGGUGGGCGCCUGUAGUCCCAGCUGCUAAGGAGGCUGAGGCAGGAGAAUCACAUGAACCCAGGAGGCAGAAGUUGCAGUGAGCCUAGAUGGAGCCACUGCACUCCAGCCUGGCAAUACAGCUAGACUCCGUCUCCAAAAAAAAAAAAAAAAAAAAAAAAAAAGAUUUCCUUCAUGCAAAUUCUUGAAGUUACUGUAUGUAUAAAAUGAGAUAGUAUUUGUGAAAUAAUAUUUAAAAAAAGCCUGAUUUACGAUACUGCUAUAACUAGGGAUCAAUUUGUACUGAGAGC